CUCCUCUCCUUCUCUCUCACUAGUCGCUGCCAUGUGGGCCAGGGCUGCAUGGCGGGACCCCAUUGUCAGCCUCACAUUCCUCUCCACACGGGCCCACUGCCUGAACUCGCAUGCCACGCGUGUGAGCACGCGUCGAGCACGGGAGAGGGCGAGCUCCUCCUGUCCAUCUCCGCCGGCGACCAUACUUAACCCGACCGGCCGACCAACUUUCUCUCCCUCUCGCCCUUGUCUCGUUUCGCGGAAGAACCGAGGUACCCCGCCUCGGAUUCGCCGGGAACGGAGGCGCCAUCUCCGGCGCCGGCGAGAUAAGUCCUCGACUCCGUCGCAAUCCGCCAAUCUCCGGGAACGUGACCGCGUCAAAUCGGAACACCGUCGCGCUCUGGACGCCGCUGCUUCGCCUUUGCUCGUCGCCCGGCUUCCAUAGUUCGUUACAGGCUGAGCCACUUCGUCACGAGCUUCAUCAACACCUGUAGAUCAAGAAUCCCGAAGGAAUCGACGCGAGGUGGACCACAGUGGGAGAUCCUCUUCUUCUUCUCCAAUCCCAGCCACCGACGCCAUUCCUUUCUUUCUCCUUCUCUGUAGAAGCCUGGGGAUACGCCGUCGACGACGACCGUAGCAGCCGCGCCGUCGCCGAACCAGUACACCGUCGCCAAGACUUCGCUGAGCUGCGUUUGCUUCUUGAAUUGGUUGCAGGUGAGAUCACUCCUGUGGAGGAUGAUUUCGUUGGGGAAGUUUCUUUCUUCCAGGAUGGUUCUUACUAGGGUCUAUCCUAGUCGGUUGCAUGAAAGAUCUUUUGGGUAGAAGAUGCUUCCGCGAACCUAUCUAUUCAGCCAAUCGGCCAUGUGUAUCUAAGUUAUAAGUUGUAUGAUCCUAACUAAAACUUAGAACUUAGAACUCCCUAUGUUGAGAUAUCAUGUGCUUGGAUAAAGUGUUUAGUGUGUUCCUUUUGUUAGGGACAUAUUAAACAUGAGUAUGAGUUAAAGAUAUUUGAGAUGUUGUGGAUCUUUA